UACAGAGUGGGCAAUCGUUGUUCGGAAUUACUGUGCGGAAAGGGCGCGUAGGCGGAACAUUAAGUUAGGGGUGAAAGGCCUGGGUUCAACCUGGGAACGGCCUCUAAGACUGAUGAUCUUGAGUUCGGAAGAGGAUGGCGGAAUUCCCAGUGUAGAGGUGAAAUUCGUAGAUAUUGGGAAGAACACCGGUGGCGAAGGCGGCCAUCUGGUCCGGAACUGACGCUGAGGCGCGAAAGCGUGGGGAGCAAACAGG
rnacentral:misc_RNA from 1 species